UACGUAGGGUGCGAGCGUUAAUCGGAAUUACUGGGCGUAAAGCGUGCGCAGGCGGUUUUGUAAGCCAGAUGUGAAAUCCCCGGGCUCAACCUGGGAAUGGCAUUUGGGACUGCAAGGCUUGAGUGCGGCAGAGGAGACUGGAAUUCCUGGUGUAGCAGUGAAAUGCGUAGAUAUCAGGAGGAAUACCGAUGGCGAAGGCAGGUCUCUGGGCUGACACUGACGCUCAUGCACGAAAGCGUGGGGAGCAAAAGGG
rnacentral:rRNA from 1 species